CUCCGCAGGUGCUCCUAUCCUCCACAGAUGCUCCACCUCUAUUUUCUGAAGGCACACUACAUCUAACCUCUGCUGACGCACUAACUAUGCCUUCUGACAGCACUCCUGUCCUCCGCAGGUGCUCCCUGUUCUCCUGAGGUACUCCGAUCCUAGGCAGACCCUCCACCUUGAUCCUCUGAUGGCACACUACCUCUAACCUCUACUGGCGCACUACCUCUAUCUUCUAACCACGCUCCCAUCAUCUGCAUGCUGUCUGUGUUCUCCACAGAUGCUCUUGUCCUCCGCAGACGCUCCAACUCGAUCCUCCGAUGAUGCACUACCUCGAAACUCUGCCGGCGCACUACCUCUAUCUUCUGACAACGCUCCCAUCAUCUGCCGGCGCUCUGUGCUCUCUGCACGUGCUCCCGUCCUCCGCAGAUGCUCCAUCUAUAUCCUCUGAAGGCACACUACAUCUAACCUCUGCUGGCGCACUAACUAUGUCUUCUGAUGGUGCUGCUGUCCUUGGCAAUCGCUUCCUGUUCUCCACAGGUGCUCCUAUCCUCCGCAGAUGCUCCACCUCUAUCCUCUGAAGGCACACUACAUCUAAUCUCUGCCGGCGCACUAAUUAUGCCUUCUGACAGCACUCCUGUCCUUUGCAGAUGCUCCCUGUUCUCCUCAGGUGCUCCGAUACUUCGCAGACCCUCCACCUCGAUCCUCUGAUGGCACACUACCUCCAACCUCUGCUGGCACACUACCUCUAUCUUCUGACAAUACUCCCAACAUCUGCAGGCACUCCUUGAACUCCGCAGAUGCUCUUGUCCUCUGUAGACGCUCCACCUCUAUCCUCUGAUGAUGCACUACAUCUAACCUCUGCUGGUGCACUAACUCUGUCUUCUGAUGGCGCUCCUGUCCUUGCCAAUCGCUUCCUGUUCUCUGUAGAUGCCCCUAUCCUCCGCAGAUUCUCCACCUAUAUCCUCUGAAGGCACACUACAUCUAACCUCUGCUGGCGCACUAACUAUGCCUUCUGACAGCACUCCUGUCCUCCACAGCUGCUCCCCGUUCGCUGCAGGUGCUCCCAUCCACCCCAGACCCUCCACCUCGAUCCUCUGAUGGCACACUACCUCUAACCUCUGCUGGCGCACUACCUCUAUCUUCUUACAACGCUCCCAUCAUCUGCUGGCGCUCUGUGUUCUCUACACGUGCUCCCAUUCUCGGCAGAUGUUCCACCUAUAUCCUCUCAAGGCACACUACCUCUAACCUCUGCCGGUUCACUAGCUAUUCCUUCUGACAGCACUCCCGUUCUCCGCAGUCAGUCCCUGCUUGCCGCAGGUGCUCCCGUCCUCUGCAGACCCUCCACCUCAAUCCUCCAACAGCACACUACCUCUAACCUCUGCCUGCAAGCUACCUCUAUCUUCAGAUCAUGCUUCCAUCAUCUGCAGGCACUCCUUGAUCUCCACAGAUAUUCCCAUCCUCCCCAGACCUUGCACUUCGAUCCUGUGACAGCGCACUACCUGUAACCACUGCCAGUGUGCUACCUCUAUCUUCUGUUCGCGCUCCCGUCAUCUGCAGGCACUCUUUGUUCUUCACAGGUGCUCCCGUCCUCCGCAGACUCUUCACCUCUAUCCCGUGAUGGCACACUGCAUCUAAACUCUGCCAGCUCACUAACUCUGUCUUUCGACAGCGCUCCCGUCCUGCACAGGCUCUCCAUGUUCUCUGCAGGUGAUCUCUUCCUCCCUAGACCCUCCACCUCGAUCCUCUGAUGGGGCACUACAUCUAACCUCUGCCAGCGCACUACCUCUAUCUUCUGACAACACUCCCAUCAUCUGCAGGCCGUCUGUGUUCUCCGCAGAUGCUCCUGUCCUCCGCAGAUGCUCCACCUAUAUCUUCUGAUGGCACACUACAUCUAACCUCUGCCAGUGCACUAAAUCUGUCUUAUGACGGCACUCCUGUCCUCCGCAAUUACUUCCAGUUCCCUGCAGGUGCUCUUUUCCUCCGCAGACAUUCCACCUCUAUCCUCCAACAGCGCACUACAUCUAACCUCUGCCGGUGCACUAAUUCUGUUUUCUGCCGGUGUUCCCGUCCUCUGCAGUCACUCCCUGUUCUCCGCAGGUUCUCCUGUUCUCCGCAGACCCACUACUUUGAUCCUCCAACAGUGCACUACCUCUAACCUCUGCCGGCAAGCUACCUCUAUCUUCUGAUUGUGCUCCCAUCAUCUGCUGGCACUCCUUGUUCUCCGCAGGUCCUCUUUUUCUCCGCAUACGUUACACCUCUAUCGUCUGACAGUGCACUACCUCUAACCUUUGCCGGCGUGCUACCUCUUAUCCUCUGCUGGUGUGUUACCUCUAAUCUCUGCUGGUGCUACCUUUGUCUUCUGACUGAGCUCCCGUCCCCCGUAGGUGCUCCCUGUUUUCUUCAGGUGCUCCUGUCCUCCACAGACCAUCCACCUCUGUCCUCCAAUGGUGCACUACCUCUAACCUCUGCUGGCGCACUACCUCUAUAUUCUGACGGUGCUCCUGUCCUCUGCAAGCGCUCCCUGUUCCCCACAGGUGCUCCCUGUCCUCUGCAGGUACUCCACCUCUAUUCUCUGAUGGCACACUACAUCUAACCUCCACCGGCGUGCUACCUCUAUCUUCUGACGGUGCUCCCAUCCUCUGCUGGCGCUCCCUGUUCUCUGCAGGUGCUUUCAUUCUCCACAGACACUCCACCUCUAUCUUCCAAUGUCGCACUACAUCUAACCUCUGCUGGCGCACUACCUCUAUCUUCUGAUGGCUCUCCCAUCCCCCGCAGCUGUUGCACCUCUUUCCUCUGCUAGCACACUACCUCUAACCUUUGCCAGCGCACAACCACUAUCCUCUGACGACGUUCCUGUCCUCUGCAGGCACUCCCCAUCUCCUCAGGUGUUCCCGUCCUCCGCAAACCCUCCACCUUUAUCCUCCAAUGGUGCACUACCUCUAACCUCUACCGGCGCACUACCUCUGUCUUCUGACAGUGCUCCCAUCCUCCACAGAUGCUCCACCUCUAUCUUCUGACAGCGCACUACCUCUAACCUCCGCCGGCGCACUACCUGUAUUCUCCGACGGCACUGUGUCCUCCGCAAAC
rnacentral:lncRNA from 1 species